rnacentral:rRNA from 1 species
AGUGAACGCUGGCGGUAGGCCUAACACAUGCAAGUCGAACGGCAGCACAGUAAGAGCUUGCUCUUACGGGUGGCGAGUGGCGGACGGGUGAGGAAUACAUCGGAAUCUACUUUUUCGUGGGGGAUAACGUAGGGAAACUUACGCUAAUACCGCAUACGACCUACGGGUGAAAGCAGGGGAUCUUCGGACCUUGCGCGAUUGAAUGAGCCGAUGUCGGAUUAGCUAGUUGGCGGGGUAAAGGCCCACCAAGGCGACGAUCCGUAGCUGGUCUGAGAGGAUGAUCAGCCACACUGGAACUGAGACACGGUCCAGACUCCUACGGGAGGCAGAAGUGGGGAAUAUUGGACAAUGGGCGCAAGCCUGAUCCAGCCAUACCGCGUGAGUGAAGAAGGCCUUCGGGUUGUAAAGCCCUUUUGUUGGGAAAGAAAAGCAGCAGGUUAAUACCCCGCUGUUCUGACGGUACCCAAAGAAUAAGCACCGGCUAACUUCGUG